rnacentral:rRNA from 2 species
UACGAAGGGGGCUAGCGUUGUUCGGAAUUACUGGGCGUAAAGGGCGCGUAGGCGGACGCUUAAGUCAGGGGUGAAAUGCCAAGGCUCAACCUUGGAACUGCCUUUGAUACUGGGUGUCUGGAGAUCGGGAGAGGUGAGUGGAAUUCCGAGUGUAGAGGUGAAAUUCGUAGAUAUUCGGAGGAACACCAGAAGCGAAGGCGGCUCACUGGCCCGAGACUGACGCUGAGGCGCGAAAGCGUGGGGAGCAAACAGG